rnacentral:rRNA from 1 species
GAUGAACGCUGGCGGCGUGCCUAAUACAUGCAAGUCGAGCGAAUGGAUUAAGAGCUUGCUCUUAUGAAGUUAGCGGCGGACGGGUGAGUAACACGUGGGUAACCUGCCCAUAAGACUGGGAUAACUCCGGGAAACCGGGGCUAAUACCGGAUAACAUUUUGAACCGCAUGGUUCGAAAUUGAAAGGCGGCUUCGGCCGUACCUUUUGGAUGGACCCGGGUCGCAUUAGCUAGUUGGGGGGGUAACGGCUCACCAAGGCAACGAUGCGUAGCCGACCUGAGAGGGUGAUCGGCCACACUGGGACUGAGACACGGCCCAGACUCCUACGGGAGGCAGCAGUAGGGAAUCUUCCGCAAUGGACGAAAGUCUGACGGAGCAACGCCGCGUGAGUGAUGAAGGCUUUCGGGUCGUAAAACUCUGUUGUUAGGGAAGAACAAGUGCUAGUUGAAUAAGCUGGCACCUUGACGGUACCUAACCAGAAAGCCACGGCUAACUACGUGCCAGCCGCCGCGGUAA